rnacentral:rRNA from 1 species
GCUCAACCGGGGAGGGUCAUUGGAAACUGGGAAACUUGAGUGCAGAAGAGGAGAGUGGAAUUCCACGUGUAGCGGUGAAAUGCGUAGAGAUGUGGAGGAACACCAGUGGCGAAGGCGACUCUCUGGUCUGUAACUGACGCUGAGGAGCGAAAGCGUGGGGAGCGAACAGGAUUAGAUACCCUGGUAGUCCACGCCGUAAACGAUGAGUGCUAAGUGUUAGGGGGUUCCCGCCCCUUAGUGCUGCAGCUAACGCAUUAAGCACUCCGCCUGGGGAGUACGGUCGCAAGACUGAAACUCAAAGGAAUUGACGGGGGCCCGCACAAGCGGUGGAGCAUGUGGUUUAAUUCGAAGCAACGCGAAGAACCUUACCAGGUCUUGACAUCCUCUGACAACCCUAGAGAUAGGGCUUUCCCUUCGGGGACAGAGUGGCAGGUGGUGCAUGGUUGUCGUCAGCUCGUGUCGUGAGAUGUUGGGUUAAGUCCCGCAACGAGCGCAACCCUUGAUCUUAGUUGCCAGCAUUCAGUUGGGCACUCUAAGGUGACUGCCGGUGACAAACCGGAGGAAGGUGGGGAUGACGUCAAAUCAUCAUGCCCCUUAUGACCUGGGCUACACACGUGCUACAAUGGACAGAACAAAG